UACAGAGGGGGCAAGCGUUAUUCGGAAUUAUUGGGCGUAAAGGGCGCGUAGGCGGCCAUUCAAGUGACGGGUGAAAGCCCUCGGCUUAACCGAGGAACUGCCUGUCAGACUGGAUGGCUUGAGACCGGGAGAGGUGAGUGGAAUUCCCAGUGUAGCGGUGAAAUGCGUAGAUAUUGGGAAGAACACCGAUGGCGAAGGCAGCCAUCUGGGACCGACACUGACGCUGAGGCGCGAAAGCGUGGGGAGCAA
rnacentral:rRNA from 1 species